rnacentral:rRNA from 1 species
AUACGUAGGGGGCGAGCGUUGUCCGGAAUGAUUGGGCGUAAAGGGCGCGUAGGCGGCCCGGUAAGUCUGGAGUGAAAGUCCUGUUUUUGAGAUGGGAAUUGCUUUGGAUACUGUCGGGCUUGAGUGCAGGAGAGGUAAGUGGAAUUCCCAGUGUAGCGGUGAAAUGCGUAGAGAUUGGGAGGAACACCAGUGGCGAAGGCGACUUACUGGACUGUAACUGACGCUGAGGCGCGAAAGUGUGGGGAGCAAACAGGAUUAGAUACCCUGGUAGUCCACACUGUAAACGAUGAAUGCUAGGUGUAGGGGGUAUCGACCCCUUCUGUGCCGCAGUCAACACAAUAAGCAUUCCGCCUGGGGAGUACGGCCGCAAGGUUGAAACUCAAAGGAAUUGACGGGG